UGGGGAAUAUUGCACAAUGGGCGCAAGCCUGAUGCAGCCAUGCCGCGUGUGUGAAGAAGGCCUUCGGGUUGUAAAGCACUUUCAGCGAGGAGGAAGGUGGUGAGCUUAAUACGCUCAUCAAUUGACGUUACUCGCAGAAGAAGCACCGGCUAACUCCGUGCCAGCAGCCGCGGUAAUACGGAGGGUGCAAGCGUUAAUCGGAAUUACUGGGCGUAAAGCGCACGCAGGCGGUUUGUUAAGUCAGAUGUGAAAUCCCCGGGCUCAACCUGGGAACUGCAUUUGAAACUGGCAAGCUAGAGUCUCGUAGAGGGGGGUAGAAUUCCAGGUGUAGCGGUGAAAUGCGUAGAGAUCUGGAGGAAUACCGGUGGCGAAGGCGGCCCCCUGGACGAAGACUGACGCUCAGGUGCGAAAGCGUGGGGCAGCAAACAGGAUUAGAUACCCUGGUAGUCCACGCUGUAAAACGAUGUCGAUUUUGGAGGUUAUGCCCUUGAGGCGUGGCUUCCGGAGCUAACGCGUUAAAUCGACCGCCUGGGGAGUACGGCCGCAAGGUU
rnacentral:rRNA from 1 species